UUUCCCUCCAUUGAAUGCUUUCAUUCUCCUCAAAUCUCCUAAAAUCUACCUUUCCCCCAAAUCUCCUAAAUAUAAUUCUCCCCCAAAUCUUUCAAAUGCCAUUCAUCUUCACCACAAAGAACCACCGUCUUGUGACCGUCUGCCACUGCUGGAAACGAACCGCCAUUGACGACUCUUCUUGAAUCUGGGCUUGUGUCGAACCGUCUUCAAUGAGCAUGUGCCGAACCUGUGAUCCUCUGCCCAUUUCAUCAUCACCACAACGACCCUGUGUCGAAUCUUGUGAAUCAACGGGUUUGGAAUAAUUGGUCGAUUGGUGGCUAGGGUCGCCUUGAAGAGAGUUGAUGUUGAGCUUGUUGCUGUCAACGACCCAUUUGUCUCUGUGGUGUACACGGAUUUGAACAAGCGCCAUCACCCAUUAGACUUAAAUACUUUAAACUUAUUGACUUCUCACCAGCAGUCAUGAACCAAGCAACCCUCACGACACUCAUAGAGUAGUGCUUAACAUAUUUGAUGUGAGAACUGGAAAAAUAAUGAAAGGUUUCAACGAAAGGGCAGAUGAGUUUGCGUUUGGAGAAACCGGCGGUUUCACUGGGGUUUCUUGGCCUGAUUUCAGAUUUCUUGCAUGUGCAGAUUCUAAAGGCUAGGAGAACAUGGUCGAUGACAAAGCUUCGGAAUGAAGACACGACGUGAAGGCACUCAAAGGAUGAAGGUGAUCGAGUUGCCAUUGGCCAUCAUCAACACCACAAGGAUCUCACUUCAUAAAGAUCAAGUCAUUCACGAGCAUAACUCAAGGGGGAGCUUAUGUUAAGGGGGAGUUUGUCAACACACUUCCUACAUGAUACGGGUAGUUUGUUGAUACACUCUCUGCUUUCAAUACGUGAAGACUUUGAAGAUCCUCCGACUUUGAAGACUUGAAAGGACAUCAGAGUUUUGAGAAAUCGAAGACCAAAGACCAUCGAAGUUCGAGACGAGUCUACAAUUAUAGAAGAUAAAGACAAAGCUACAGCCAAGGGGGAGUUUGUUGGUGCACUUGUGUCUGUACUUUGUCUGUAUUCGGUCACGAUGUAAACGAUGUCCGUGUCAGUCCUGUAAGUUGACCAAGUCAACCGUCCUCCUGGUUUGACUUGGCCAAACAAUCAUAUAUUGGUUGUAAAGUGUCUGUCUCGAAGGUUGAGGAUCGAAGGAUGUUUCAUAUCCUUCGAUCACUUCGAAAGAUAUGCUUCGACUGAUAGACCUCGAAGGAUCAUCCUUCGAGGUCCUUGCUGAUCCUUCGAGAGCAUUGCAUUUGAAAGAUGAUCCUUCGGACCAUCUAUCGAAUCCUUCGAGCAAGACCUGCUGUGUAUGGGUAUAAAUACCCAUGCAGUGUGUUGUGUUCAUUUAGAGACACUUAGAAAGACAGACAGAAAGAUAGAGCUGAGAGCAUUCUGUCCGAAACACACACACACAUAGUGAGAGUUUGCAAGUUAGAUUUGUAAACAUUGUGCUUGUAACCGGAACCUUCAUACGUAUUAUUACAGUGGUGUUAAUCG
rnacentral:lncRNA from 1 species